GACGAACCGUUGUAGCCGGCACCCGUCUCGGGUGUGAGAGUUACGAUGUGUUUGUCAUCCUUCCAGAAAAUGACGUCUACCAUUUACUUGGCCGGACGUCGUGAUCUGGAUCUAUUACUUUGAAAAAAUUAGAGUGUUUAAAGCAGGCUUAUGCUCUGAAUACAUUAGCAUGGAAUAAUAAUUUAGGACUUCGGUUCUAUUUUGUUGGUUUCUAGGACUGAAGUA
rnacentral:rRNA from 1 species